CAGCAGCCGCGGGAAUACGAAGGGGGCUAGCGUUGUUCGGAUUUACUGGGCGUAAAGGGCGCGCAGGCGGACUGAUAAGUCAGGGGUGAAAUCCUGGAGCUCAACUCCAGAACUGCCUUUGAUACUGAAGAUCUUGAGUUCGGGAGAGGUGAGUGGAACUGCGAGUGUAGAGGUGAAAUUCGUAGAUAUUCGCAAGAACACCAACGGCGAAAGCACUCUGCUAGGCCGACACUGGCACUGAGAGACGAAAGCUAGGGGAGCAAAUGGGAUUAGAUACCCCGGUAGUCCCUGUCUCUUAUAC
rnacentral:rRNA from 1 species